UGGCCGGUAGCUCAGUUAUUUAGAGCGUCGUGCUAAAAACGCGAAUGUCGUGGGUUCAAUCCCCAUACUGGCCAA